rnacentral:misc_RNA from 1 species
CAUGACCUCCAUCCAGCAAUCAUGAACCAAAAACCAUGUUGAUUAAUCGUUCUAAUUGUUCGACAUCUGACGUUGCUAAGAUAUAAUUAGUCCUGUUGUGCAAAUUGAUUGUUUUUAAAGCCUAAACGCAGUGNCUGUUCUGAUUACAUUUAUUUGUUAGAGACUGACUGUUGAUAUAAGGCUAUAUUUUGGUGAAUCCACUGUUCAGAAGUUCUUAAAACCAUUAAAUUUAGCUAACACUAGCCCAGAGUCAAGAAGAUNUACUAUAGGUUAGUGAUGCCGCCUACUAGUUCUAUUUUAUUUUCGUUUAUAAUAUUAAUUUUUCAGUGUACNGACUGCAAAAACGCCAAGGCACCAGUGUGGGAUUUUGCGGUUUAAUAACUGAACUGUACAUUAACUGCAAAUUAGCAAAAUCGCAUGAGAAAACCUCAGAAUUUCCAAUAUUGAUCUUGUCUAAGAAUACAAUGUUUCUAUAUUAAGAGAAAUUGUUAGAAUAUUCAAUUUUCACAUUUUGGAACAGUUUCAUUGAAAAAAUGUUAUAGCGAAUCUCUUGAAAAAUUUGACUCAAUUGGUUUUUUUAAUCAUUUUGUUUGCGUGUAAAGUCUAGAGAAUAUCGAUAUGCAUCAUAAUCACUCGAAAACAAAACAAAAAACACACAAAUCAUCCUAUUCUACACAAAUACACUGCUUGUCAACUGAAAAGACCAGAAAAAAAGACAACAAAAUAACAAAAUCAAGGAAAUGAUAAGAAUUGAUGUACUUCAAGUACAUUACCACUAGUUAUCGAAGAAAUCAGCAAGCCUAAUAUAAGAAGAUAGACACUGAGUGGUAAAUCAUACAUGCAUAACAUAGCAGUACAGCAAUAGAAUACAACGAAAAUUAUUCAGCCCGGAUCCUGUGUCAAACGCGAGUUUACUUGAAAGUAAUAUUUCGAAAAAAAUNCUAUGUCCAAGCAACAAGAAACACUACAAUAUCAAGAAAUCCAGUGUCGAAUUUAAAUAGAGACAAAAGAAAACCACCCUUUUCAUCAGCUAGUACCAUUAGCUGUUUUAAUAGUGUUUUCAACAGCACUCAAGCAGCCACAAAUGAUUCCGUGUCGAAAUCCAAACUUCUUGUGGUGUCGAUUAUUCGUACAAUGGUGAUCCAUAAAUACAUUACUGUCACCACAAGUCAAACAUAUAAACUCGAGUUCCUAAAAACACUGAUUAUAUAUCCGCAAAGCCACAGGGAANCCNANUACUAGGCUAUUUAUAGCAGGNUUUGUUUUCGCGCGUUGCGNCCCCGUGGAUGUCUUAUCCUGAUAGGAGUCAACAUUAUCGAAAAAACCUACUGACUUUUGCAGCCUGAAAACUCUUUCUUAUCAUGCAACGGAUCUUANGUGUUUUGAAGAAUUUCCGCAAAUUGUCGGUUUGCUGACGUCUUNAUUAAAUAGAAAAUGGCACAAAGCACCGCGGGUUGAAGAGCAAAUUAGCAAAAUUCGACGGUGCUUUUUAGUAGAUUUAAAACUUACCGUUCUAACGUGGGUUACAUGAUAUGAGCCGAUAGUUACGGAAUAUUCGUAAAUCAAUACGAUACCGACAAAACAACUACUUNCUUCAUAUAAAUACCCCAUGCAUUUUCGAUUACAAUUAUGGGAUGUUUUGUAAUAUCACCUGGUAUGUGUGCAUGACUAGGGCANUCUUCAGUAGUAAAAUAUACACAAGA